rnacentral:rRNA from 1 species
UUCCGGUUGAUCCUGCCAGAGGUCACUGCUAUCGGGGUUCGAUUAAGCCAUGCGAGUCGAGAGGGUUCGGCCCUCGGCGUACUGCUCAGUAACACGUGGAUAACCUGCCCUAGGGGAGGGGAUAACCCCGGGAAACUGGGGAUAAUACCCUAUAGGUUACAGAUGCUGGAAUGCCCUGUAACCAAAAGCUCCGGCGCCCUAGGAUGGAUCUGCGGCCGAUUAGGUUGUUGUUGGGGUAACGGCCCAACAAGCCCGUAAUCGGUACGGGUUGUGGGAGCAAGAGCCCGGAGUUGGAUUCUGAGACACGAAUCCAGGCCCUACGGGGCGCAGCAGGCGCGAAACCUUUACAAUGCGGGCAACCGUGAUAAGGGAACCUCGAGUGCCUGUAAACGCAGGCUGUUCAGGUGUUUAAAACGCACCUGGAGAAAGGGCCGGGCAAGACCGGUGCCAGCCGCCGCGGUAAUACCGGCGGCUCGAGUGGUGGCCGCUUUUAUUGGGCUUAAAGCGUUCGUAGCUGGGUUGUUAAGUCUCUUGGGAAAUCUGGCGGCUUAACCGUCAGGCGUCUAAGGGAUACUGGCAAUCUUGGAACCGGGAGAGGUGAGGGGUACUUCGGGGGUAGGGGUGAAAUCCUGUAAUCCUCGAGGGACCACCUGUGGCGAAGGCGCCUCACCAGAACGGCUUCGACAGUGAGGGACGAAAGCUGGGGGAGCAAACCGGAUUAGAUACCCGGGUAGUCCCAGCCGUAAACGAUGCGCGUUAGGUGUAUCGG